rnacentral:rRNA from 1 species
UACGGAGGGUGCAAGCGUUAUCCGGAUUCACUGGGUUUAAAGGGUGUGUAGGCGGGCUGUUAAGUCAGUGGUGAAAUCUCCAGGCUCAACCUGGAAACUGCCAUUGAUACUAUCAGUCUUGAAUAUCGUUGAGGUGGGCAGAAUAUGUCAUGUAGCGGUGAAAUGCAUAGAUAUGACAUAGAAUACCGAUUGCGAAGGCAGCUCACUAAGCGUGUAUUGACGCUGAGGCACGAAAGCGUGGGGGAUCAAACAGG